GGUGAACGCUGGCGGCGUGCCUAAUACAUGCAAGUCGAGCGAACAGACGAGGCGCUUGCUCCUCUGACGUUAGCGGCAGACGGGUGAGUAACACGUGUAUAACCUACCUAUCAGACUGGUAUAACUUCGGAAAACCGGAGCUUAUCCCGUAUGAGAUCUUGAAGCGUGUUGUUCAUUGGUGAAAGACGGUUUUGCUGUCACUUAUAGAUGGAUCCGCGCCGGAUUAGCUAGUUGGUAAGGUAACGGCUUACCAAGGCAACGAUGCGUAGGCGACCUGAGAGAGUGAUCGGCCACACUGGAACUGGGCCACGGUCCAGACUCCUACGGGAGGCAGCAGUAGGGAAUCGUCCGCAAUGGGCGAAAGCCUGACGGAGCAACGCCGCGUGAGUGAUGAAGGUCUUCGGAUCGUAAAACUCUGUUAUUAGGGAAGAACAAAUGUGUAAGUAACUAUGCACGUCUUGACGGUACCUAAUCAGAAAGCCACGGCUAACUACGUG
rnacentral:rRNA from 1 species